rnacentral:rRNA from 1 species
GAUUGGCUCAGAUUGAACGCUGGCGGCAGGCCUAACACAUGCAAGUCGAGCGGAUGAAGAGAGCUUGCUCUCUGAUUCAGCGGCGGACGGGUGAGUAAUGCCUAGGAAUCUGCCUGAUAGUGGGGGACAACGUUUCGAAAGGAACGCUAAUACCGCAUACGUCCUACGGGAGAAAGCAGGGGACCUUCGGGCCUUGCGCUAUCAGAUGAGCCUAGGUCGGAUUAGCUAGUUGGUG